CAAUCCAAUCAGAAAAGGGCCUAAUGGAUACAGGUUUCCUUCCUGUCAAGCCAAAUCCCAGCCAAUUCCAUUUGUUUAAACAGAGGGUCUCAAUAUUCAAACUUUGUGAGGGUUGCAUUUUUCACAAAAACAAUAUUGCCUGUCACAGCAGCAGCUCAUAAAAUAAUAAAAGAAAGAAUACUUUAUAAUAUUCACAAUUCACUUCACUUUAUGGAUGCAAACAAUAAACAAGCACUUUUAGUUAGUUUGUAAAUAGACAAUAAAUAAAUAGACAUAGGCUUAUUUUGGCAGUUCUCAGAGCAUAUUAAUCAAAAUGCUUUAUAUAACUGUGGUGAUGUGUACGGCUUAAAGCAUACACACAAAUCCCAUAGUGUAUUAAGGAACCAAAGUAGGAUCAGAUGUCUAUAACAAUCCCCAAAAUAAAUCUAUAUCAGUCUUUUAGAGAAUGCACGAACAUGUGCAUCAAAAGACAUGGCGUUUUAUGAAGUACAAACAAAGCAAAUCACACUGUGUCAACCUGCAUACAUGGUAGCAAGUUUGAUGUACUAGGUAUAUU